UACGGAGGGGUCUAGCGUUGUUCGGAAUUACUGGGCGUAAAGCGCACGUAGGCGGCUUUGUAAGUUAGAGGUGAAAGCCCGGGGCUCAACUCCGGAAUUGCCUUUAAGACUGCAUCGCUAGAAUUGUGGAGAGGUAAGUGGAAUUCCGAGUGUAGAGGUGAAAUUCGUAGGUAUUCGGAAGAACACCAGUGGCGAAGGCGACUUACUGGACACAUAUUGACGCUGAGGUGCGAAAGCGUGGGGAGCAAACAGG
rnacentral:rRNA from 1 species